rnacentral:pre_miRNA from 1 species
AGCUAGACAAGCACUGAUCUAAGCAGACUGAGGAGAGUGCCACAGUGGUCACCAUGCAGUCUGCUGAGGUUGGAGCUGCUGAGAUGA